ensembl:snRNA U6 U6 spliceosomal RNA
GUGCUGGUUUUGUCACAUGCCCUAAAACUGGAACGAUACAGAGAUUAGCAUGGCCCCGCCCCGAGGAUGAUGUGCAGAUUCUUGAAACGCUCCUGAUUUUU